GACGAACGCUGGCGGCGUGCCUAAUACAUGCAAGUAGAACGCAGUUGCGAACGGUUGAGUAACGCGUAGGUAACUUCCUCAUAGCGGGGGAUAACUAUUGGUAACGAUAGCUAAUACCGCAUCCUGUGAGAUGGACCUGCGUUGUAUUUGCUAGUUGGUGAGGUAAAGGCUCACCAAGGCGACGAUACAUAGCCGACCUGAGAGGGGGCUCUGCCACCAUGGGACUUGGACAACGCCCAGAAGCCAACGGGAGGCAGCAGGUGGGAAACUUCGGCAAAGGACGGAAGUCUGACCGAGCAACGCCGCGGUGGUGGAGAAGGUGUUCCGAUCGUAAAGCUCUGGUGUUAGAGAAGCGGUAACUAACCAGAAAGGGACGGAUAACUACGUGCCAGCAGCCGCGGUAAUUC
rnacentral:rRNA from 1 species